UACGUAGGGUCCGAGCGUUGUCCGGAAUUAUUGGGCGUAAAGAGCUCGUAGGCGGUUUGUCGCGUCUGAUGUGAAAUCCCGAGGCUCAACCCCAAGCCUGCACUGGAUACUGUCGAGCUUGAGUCCGGGAGGGGAGAGCGGAAUUCCUAGUGUAGCGGUGAAAUGCGCAGAUAUUAGGAAGAACACCGGUGGCGAAGGCGGCUCUCUGGAACGGUACUGACGCUGAGACGCGAAAGCGUGGGGAGCGAACAGG
rnacentral:rRNA from 1 species